rnacentral:rRNA from 1 species
UACGGGGGGGGCAAGCGUUGUUCGGAAUUACUGGGCGUAAAGGGCUCGUAGGCGGCCAACUAAGUCAUACGUGAAAUCCCUCGGCUUAACCGGGGAACUGCGUCUGAUACUGGAUGGCUUGAGUUCGGGAGAGGGAUGCGGAAUUCCGGGUGUAGCGGUGGAAUGCGUAGAGAUCCGGAAGGACACCGGUGGCGAAGGCGGCCUGCUGGGCAGUGGCUGACACUGAGGCGCGACAGCGUGGGGAGCAAACAGG